CUUUGUUGAAUGCAUAUACAUUCAACACUUCUUAUCUAUAAAAUACACUUUACAUAAAUUUUGCUUAUAUAGAUGACCUCUAUACAAACUAUACAGUUUUGUAUACAGGUAUACAAAGCUAUACAAUUUUAGUUGUAACAAUGCUUCAAUGCUGGUAUUAUUAAUAGCAUUUUAUAGAUGAAGAAACUAAGAAAGAAGUGGAAAAAUUUGCCCAUGAACAUACAAGCAAGGGAAAGAGCUGUUAUUUGUAGUCAGGUCUCUCCAAAGCCUAUAUUUCUAACCACUGUACACUGUGUUAUCUGGACUACCAACAAACUGUAGACUUCCAUUUCAUAAGCAUUAAAUCUGCAGUCUCCAGGCCACCUGGGAAACCUUCACACAUUGCCACUCCUCUGUGAUUUUCACCUGACACCACUGGUUUGGGAACAAGUUCUUGAAGUGCUUGUUACACUCCCUGAGAACUCCCUUAAGUUGGAAUCCCAGCCCUUCCACUUAGUAGUUGGAUGGCCCUGGGUGAGUUACCUAACUUUCAUCAGCCUCACCCUCUUCAUUAGGGCAGUUAAUUCCCACCUUAUGAAAUCGUGGGAAAGAUCAGAUUACACUAAUGCCAAGAAAACAUCUGAUACAGCCUGACUAUCCUAGACAUUCCACCAGUAAGAGUUUUCCGCAUUCCUUAAUGAAUUCGCCACCACUUCCUAUAUCCAGGCUGAAGACCCUUUAAAUUAUACCUUUCAUCCUAAUUUCUUACUGUUCCUCCAGGUCUGUAUUUCCUGUUUCCCACUUGGAGACAUAGCAAACCCCCAAUCAUCUUACAUCUGAGCCAUGAUUCCCAGUUCUUUGUACUCUCAAUGCCACCUUCGAUGCCAUCUUUUAGUCUUUUAGCUUACUUCCUUAAAAUCAUCUCCAUUUCUCUCUCCCUCUGCCUUGCUCAGACAUCAUGCACGCAGCAUGACUGUCUUUCCUGAGCCACUGGAGAAAAGAACUUUCCAUUUGUAGUGCCAUAUUUUUAAAUGAAUGUUGGCAAAUCAGUGCGGAUUGAUCAGGGUGAUGGGGCCUGGAAACUGACAUAUGCCAGAAUGAAUUUGGUGGGGGGGGUUGGGGGGUUUUGUUUAUUUGUUUUUGUCUUAAAAGCAGAAGUCUAAAGUUUGUCAGUGGGAAGAGAAGGUCCUUUGCUCUGUGUCCUUCAAAGUGCAGAUGUGAUCCAUAGAAAGUGAAUUUCUGUUCAACAUAAGGAAAUGUUGAGGAUGAGAGUCCCAGCCAAUGAAGCGAGUGUGAUCACAUGAGGGUCUCUAUCUUCCUCACCUACUUUGCUCAUCCCAUUGAAAUGUAUGAGGCUCUCAGCAAAGAUCGAUUCACCAUCUGCUAUAAGAAUUAAAGAAACAACUCACCAAGCUUCAAGCAUGUGCAUAGUAGCACCUUUAUUAAAUGACCCUAGACCCUCUAGAAUCAUAUGCAAUCCAUUUUGAAUCUGUUUGAAACUAGUCUCGCCAGCACGAGUGAUGUGUAGCCUAAAGGCUACCAAUGGCAAAGAGGAGUUUAUAGUUCCUCUCUGAGCCAGCCAGAGACUGAACUCAAAAUAUUGCCCUAAAUAAUAGUCUACUUCUUUGCUGUAGCUAUAGUGCUUUCAGUGUUCAGCUCCGAUAGCCCCAGUUUCAGACCAGUCUUUUUGUUUGGUUUGGUUUGGUUUGUUUUUUUAAAAUAGAGAUGUGGGUCUCACUAUGUGGCCCAGGCUGGUCUUGAACCUGGUCUCAAGGGAUCCUCCCACCUUGACCUCUCAGUGUGCUAGGAUUAUGUGUGUGAGCCACUGUCCCUGGCCCAGUUUCAGACUGUUAAUGGUCGUUAUAUUAGUCAGCUUGGGCUGCCAUGACAAAAUACUACAGACUGGGUGGCCUAAACAACAGAAAUUUAUUUCUUGCAGUUCUGGAGGUUGGAAGUCUGAGAUCAAGGUGCCAGCUGAUUUAGUUCCUGAUGAGGGCUGUCUUCCUCGCAAACAGCUGCUUUUUUUCCUGUGUCCUUACAUGGCAGAGAGAAUGUGCACGUGUGUGAGUGAACUCACCUCUCAAAGGCCCCAUCUCCAAAUACCAUCACAUUGAAGGUUAGAGCUUCAAACAUGAAUUUGUGGGGAGGGGAAAAAUAUUCAGUCUAUAACCAUGGUCUUUCUUUUCUUUCUCACCAAAGUCAUAUUAGGCCAGGUGCAGUGGGUCAUGCCUGUGAUCCCAGCAUGUGGGAGCCUCAGAUGGGCAGAUCACUUCAGGACAGGAGUUCGAGACCAGCCUGGACAACACGGGUUUUGUUCCGUCGCUCUUGCCAGAGUGCAGUGAAAUAACCAGGGCUCACUGCAGCCUUGAACUCCUGGGCUCAAGGGAUCCUCCUUCUUCAGCCUCCUGAGCAGCUGGGACUACAGGCACAUGCCACAGUGCCCAGCUCCUCCAACUCCCAGACUGUGUGGUUCUGCACAACAGUGAAGAAAAUAUUGAGGAACCGAAACAAGCUGAGGCAGAUCACAGGGGGAAGAAUGUGAGUCUUAGGAAAAGCAUGACCACAAGGACUGCCAUGAUCUAGCUCCUGACUACCACAUCGGCCUCAACUCCACGCCUGUGCUGAUUUUGUGUUCUAAUGACUCCAGACUGUUCGUGGACCUACACUCACAAUGCUGGUUUGUUUGUUUUUUUUGUUUUUUUUUUUUUUUUGGAGACA